UACGUAGGGUGCAAGCGUUGUCCGGAAUUAUUGGGCGUAAAGAGCUCGUAGGCGGUUUGUCGCGUCGGCUGUGAAAACUCGGGGCUCAACCCCGAGCCUGCAGUCGAUACGGGCAAACUCGAGUGCGGUAGGGGAGACUGGAAUUCCUGGUGUAGCGGUGAAAUGCGCAGAUAUCAGGAGGAACACCGGCGGCGAAGGCGGGUCUCUGGGCCGUAACUGACGCUGAGGAGCGAAAGCGUGGGGAGCGAACAGG
rnacentral:rRNA from 1 species